AUUAGUUCUUAACUGACUUGCCUAGUUAAAUGAAUAAAACAUAAAAAUGUAUUAGACUUUAGAAUUGUAUUGGGGGCAUACUGUCACGUCGGCAUAAAUUAUUCGGGAGACAGGUGUAGGAAUGCGUAACAGGGUUUUUUAUUGAUCCCAAAUUACAGCACGCCGUGUAAAGGCACGGGGACGAAGACCAGCAGCGCAAUGACAUCGGCCUCGAGGAUGAUCACAGGAACGCAGUGCUGGUCGAUCAGGACCUGAUGCAGCUGCCGAAGUUGCGUCAGUUGCGUCGUGGUCGGACCGGCCAGUUGCGCUGCCGAAGAUGCGGCGGCGUCGGACGGACCAGUAGCAGUGGCGACGGACGGGCCAGUUGUGGCUGCUGAAGUGGCGUCGUCGGACGGACCCAUUGUGGCGACGUCGUAUGGCCCAGUUGCAGCUGCGGAAGUUGUAGCGGCGCCAGAUGGACCAGUCGCAGUGUCAUCGGACAGGCCAUUCCCGCUGUCUCCCUUAAUGGCCGAUUAUUCUGCCACGUCGGCAUGAAUGAUUCAGGAGACAGGUGCAGGAAUGCACAUUUCAAGAUCCAGAGAAGAGGGUCCUGUACAGCUGUGUUUGAAAACAUUUCCCAGAACUCAGCAUGGUACUAGGAAGAGGGCUUUCAACAGCUCGUGGUAUAAGGACAAUUCAUGGCUUUAAUAUUCUGUAAGCCUGUUGGCAUUUUUCUCUGCCCUACACCUGAAUCUGUCUUCACAUCACAGGCAGGUUUUUGUAACUGAAAAAAGGCGCUGUUUAAAGAUUCUGGGUUUAAGCUCCAUUCGAAGGUAAGCAUCAUAUCAAUGCUAUGUAUGCUUGGAAUCAGCAUAAAAGGUCUAUUGACAGCAACUCAUCAAUGUUAGAUGUCAUAAAUGAGGACU